UCCAGGGUAGCCUAGUGGACAUGGCAUCUGCCCGGUAAGUGGAACCUUGUGGGUUCUAUUCCCAUCCCUGGAC
rnacentral:tRNA from 1 species